UCAGUCUUAUGAAGCAGUAUCAAAAAAGUUCUAUAAUUAAAAAACAAAAAGUAAAUCUCCAACGUGGAAUAUAUUGGAUAACUGGGAGAUACAAUUGCAAUUUAGAAAAAGUUGCAGCAAUUUUUCCAUAUGUAGAUCAAACUAAAAAAGAAAAAUAUUUGAUUUUACCCCGUAUUCCUGCUGAAUGGAUAUUUCCAUAUUGGGAAAAUCCCGCAACUAAGGCCACCUUUACUAUUCGAAUUAACCAUGACUACAUUGAUGAAACAGUUCUCUCACAUAUGCCUGGUGAUCGAAUUUUUGAAAGAAAUAAGUUCUAUACUUCAUACUACACUUCAUUUCCUAUUACACCUGCAAUGUCCACUCAAUUGGUAGCAAUAGCAGUUCUACCUUAUGAAAGUGUCAUUUUAUUGUUAAAUACAAUUUCUGUAAAAAGCAGAUUACAAGUAAUAAAUGACACUACAUAUGCACGAUCUCGAAUUAAUGACAUCACGAAGUUUAUCAGAAACAAAUGGAAGGAUAUCAUAAAAACAUCAUUCAUUUCAUAAUAGCUGGAAUUCACUGGAAGUGAAUUCCAGCUAUUAUGAAACUGUAGUAACUACUAGACUUGUUCUUUUUAAAGAGGCUGACAUUGUUUUCAAUAGAGAAGUAGAUUCGAUUAUAAGAAAAACACAAAUAACAUGUUUGAUUGCACGCAGUGUGAUACAAGAAAUGUUCAGUAAUUGGUUAGUUAAAUUUAAACAAUCUGAUCCUUGGUUUAUCAAGGGGUUUUCAACAUUUUAUG